UUCACUCAGUCUAGUCUCAGAAGAGCCAGGGAGAUCUACAGAGCUAAUGUCUUCUCAUUUGUCCUGAGUAGUAAGGUCAGUGCAGCUUCUGCCACGAGUUACAGAAACUGGAUAAUUCUCCCUAAGACUAUUACAGUAGUCUCCCAGGGACCUCUGUCUCCCACAAACUUCAGCUGCUGAGAAUUAACACGGAACCAGUUGCUCCAUGGUUCAUACCAGAUUCAAAAAGCUUGGUGUGAGAGGGAUGACAGGAGGUGCAUUACCUGAUACUACUGAGACUACAUUUGAAAACAUACUUGAACCACGCCAAAAAAAUCCUCUUCUGUAAUACUGCCAACUAAUAAAAAUGUCUAUUGUGUUAUCUGCAGGCUGAUUCCUCCUCACAACGGAUGUUCAGCACUGACCUCUUACAACCUUUGCCUCAUCUUUAGUUAGUUUACUCACCUUUUUUUGGUAGCUCAGUGGGAGUAUACUGUGAGUCUGGAGUGUGUAACAUAACUAUAUUUUCAGGUGCCAGACAAUACUUCAAAAUCCAGUUCAUAAAAGUUCAGCACUUUUCUGAGGGUUACAUGUUUCCAAACAGAGAGGUAGAGGUAGGAAGCUGUCUGUUACUCACUGACCUAUAAUGAAGAAAUGUGCUUUGGCCUUUCAACUAUGGGUGGAUGUCUUUAGUGCUUCCUAGACACCAUAGUGAUGAUUUUGCAUAGACAUGAGCGAUCAUCUGCUUGGAAGCUUCUGGCUGAAACACAAAACUUAAGCCUGUGCAGAGAGCUGUCAGCAGGCUUCAAUUGUGCACAGACAAGAACAGCAAGAGGUUCUGCGGGGGCUCAGAAGAGCAUAGUCUCACAUUAGAUGAAAGCAGAAACAUGGGACGGUCUGUUUCUAUCUUAUGCAGGCCGGCUGAAGCCAUCUGUCCCGGGCCAGCAUGCUAUCGCGCUGCCUUCCACCAGAGUGUGCAGCUAAACAAGACUGCCUUCUGCUGCACGGGGCUACGGGCGGCUCCAACAAUGCAGCCAGUCCUCAGCGCUUCUGGGCUCAAUUCGGUUAUGAAAGCGUGUUUUAAGGACUGCAGGAAAAGUGAACUAAUUAUUGGCAUGUAUUGAAAUGCUUUUCAUUUCCCACUGCAUCUCCUGCCUGAAAAUAUGCUAUUUGGGACCUGUGUUGUCACCCUGUGAUGUGUUCAUCUCUGCACACCAGGUUAUCAUGGGAAGAGUUUGACAGAUUACUUUGACAGCUUUGUGUUGUUCCUGUAUUUAUCUCUUUGGAAUUGUCUCACCCAAACUAAUUUUUUGGAGAGGACUUGAGCUUACUGCUAUGACAGCUUCCUAGACAUAGCUUGUCUCAGACCACUGCCUUACCUCCCCAACUGAUUGUGCCAUUGUGGAUUGGUUGAACCCCGAGCAGUAUGCUGGGUGGAAGUUAAAAGUGCAACAAGGGCUUACAAGUUUUGGUGCCCCAGAGAGUUGGAAGCUAUAUCCAAGCGUUGCCAUCUUCUGUGUGAUCCAAAGAAGCCUGCAAUUUGAAGUGGAGAAACACUUGUUGGACACUCAUGGAGCAUUGAAAACAGGGCCUGAUGAGCAGAGGCAUAUAUGGUACAGAGAGGAGAUGCUAAAUUUCUACAUGUAGCCCCUCUCAGUUGUGCAGCUUAGCUUGGGACAGUAACGAAAUCGAGGACUGACUCUAUGCUCCAAAGAAGACCAGUGAUGAUCCUGUUCCACCACUGACAGUUUGAAGUUGUGGGCCAGACUUCCUCUUCACCUUUUGAGCCUCGACUGACAAAAGAUCAAACAGUAAUCAGCUGUUAUGGCCACUGCACUUCAUGCCAGAGAUGAAUGUGCCAAUGAGAAGCAAAUGUGAGUUAAAGUUGUUAAGAGCAUCCCUUGUAGGAAUCUUUGCAUUGGUCAGUUAUGAGAUGCACAGAAACUUGUAUCCCACACCCAGGUGAUAUAAGGUGCUUCCAUCAUAAAUGUAAAGCACUUGCUUUACUUAUCUCUUUCACAGACCUUUUCAAGUAACACUUCUGAGGUUAUCAAAGAGACUUGUUGUGCCUUUCACUUGCAGCACAGAACAUCAGACUGGAUUUGCAGAUGGACACAGGCAGACUGAAUGCAAACACAGGUAACUUUUAAGCAGAGAGGGAUGGAUGGAUGGAUGGAUGGAUGGAUGGAUAGAGGGGGGGAAAAGAGAGGGAGGGGACACAAAGCUGUGAAUGUGCACAUAUGCAAAGACUUGUACGAGCAUGACCGUGCAAGUACACUAAGGCGUGAAUGAGCACGAAUGUGCAUGACUGUAUAUAUAUGUAUGCAAAGGCACAGAAGUGUGUAUGUGCAAAGGCAUGAACGCAAACAUGAACAUAAGCCCUUCCCUCCCCUUCUCCCUUUCCCUGUUUGUCUUUCCCCUUCUUUUUCCCUUCUCCCUGCUUCCCUUUGUCCUUCCUCUCUCCCUUCUCCUCUUUGCACUAACCCUGUCCCUUAGCUCUUCCCUUCCUUACUCCCUUCUCUUGUUCACCCUUCCUCCCUCUUACCCUUCCCCCUCUCUCCUCUCCUCCAGCUUUCCCUUCCUUUCUCCGUUCCACUCUUUCCUCCCUUUUCCCUCCCCUUCCAUCAUCCUUUUUCUCGUUCACCCUCGCCUGUCUCGCCUGUCUCGCCUGUCUCGCCUGUCUCGCCUGUCUCGCCUGUCUCGCCUGUCUCGCCUGUCUCGCCUGUCUCGCCUGUCUCGCCUGUCUCGCCUGUCUCGCCUGUCUCGCCUGUCUCGCCUG